GACAGAUUUCAGUUUUUUUUAAAGUAAUUGUUCGGAUUUUUCGAUUUCGGAUUUCGGUGAUAUGAAUCGCCUCGUGGUUCAAGAGGUCUCGAAGAGAGGGCGCUACCGUAGUCGGUUGAUAAGAGUCGAUUUCGCUUGCGAAAGAAGAUGGAUGCGAACCUCGGCACAAACAGACAGUUUUUCACGUAAAAAGUAAAAUUUUAUUGUUAAAAUUAAAAGUUAAAUAAAUAUCCAUCUAUGGUCCUCUUGAGGAAUAAAAUUUCUAGAGUUAUGUGUUAUUUUAUUCUCAUUAAACUUCUUGAUCAAGCCGAAACGUGGAACGGUGGUUUUCAAACAUGAUUUUUAUUGUGCUUUGAAAUAUUUUGUUGAGCUUUUUA